GCCACCUUCAAUAACCCUACCCUGGUGACACUUUAACACUCUGGCUGCAAACUCUUACAGAUAAAUCUUACCUUAGAAGAAACAUUUUCCUUCCCAAUGAAAUUGUCCUGAACUGUGUGCUCGUAGGAGCUUAGAAAUUGGAUUACUGUUUGAGUCCGUAGCCCAGACCAAAAAAAAACAACAACUUGCUGACCCGCGUGCUUUUCACAUGAUCCUCAAAGAGGAAAUUCCUAUGUCGGUGUAAUUCCAGGAAGGCUCAACAGAUGGCAUAAAAUCGUUUCUGUGGCACCGCGGUACUUAAACCAAGGACCUGCAUUUGCUUUCUCCGUGCGUUUUUGAAAGUUACCUUCUCUUCUGGGAAAGAAACCUCCUGGUAAGUAAGCAGGCUUUUGUGGCUUGUUCACAUUACGGCAUCGAGUACCUCAAAUACGCCAGAGAAUGCCAACGAUGGCGACACCGGAGACAGAGUUUACAUGAAUGGUGACGAAAGGGGUAUACUGGGCCGUCUCAUAUGUUUGAAGAAAUCAAAAUAACCAAGGCAUCACUGGAUACCUCUACAAAAGGAGAGCACAUGCAAGCUGGGGUGGACAGACGGAGAGGAGAGGGAGAGACUCUUAAGCAGGUUCCAUGCUCAGCACAGAGCCCAAGACGGGGCUCAGUCCCACAGCCUGAGCUAAAACCAAGAGUUGGGUGCUCAACCGAUGGAGCCAUCCAGGUGCCCCUCUGCUUAAAUUUUCUAUAUAAUAUUUAAUACUACAUGAAAUUACAUUUAGUCAUUUAUUUUCCAUCUCCCCACUAGAUAAU
rnacentral:lncRNA from 1 species